rfam:Picea glauca, whole genome shotgun sequence.
CUCUGGGUGGUGUAGUUGGUUAUUACGUUAGUCUUACACACUAAAGGUCCCCAGUUCGUACCUGGGCUCAGACA